rnacentral:ncRNA from 1 species
GAAACGGCAAACCUAUUGAAAGAUGGGGACGCAAAGCUAUAGGGGCUGUAGUCUGUUGACGAUGCUCGCCAGUUACCGA